rnacentral:lncRNA from 1 species
UUCCGACUAAUGAUUUGCUAUAAAGCCGAUGGAAAAUGGUUCCGAAUAGUGAUUUUCUAUAAACUCUCUUUCUCUGUCUUAUGAGUUCGAGGCUUGUCAAGGAAUUGAAGAGGUAGCAGCUUGUCACUUCGGCGGGCCCUCUAUCUUCCUUUUCCUUUUACUUUGUUCUAUUUGAGAAACAAAGAUUGAGACUUGUACUUAUUUCAUAAUUUCGUACCUUAUGUAUUUAGUGGCUUGUAAACGUGACAACCAGGUUUUGGGGUAUUGUUUAGAAUGAAUAAGUUCUCGAC